rnacentral:rRNA from 1 species
UACAGAGGGGGCAAGCGUUGUUCGGAAUUACUGGGCGUAAAGGGCGCGUAGGCGGCCUUCUAAGUCGAACGUGAAAUCCCCGGGCUCAACCCGGGAACUGCGUCCGAUACUGGAAGGCUUGAGUUCGGGAGAGGGAUGCGGAAUUCCAGGUGUAGCGGUGAAAUGCGUAGAUAUCUGGAGGAACACCAAUGGCGAAGGCAGCACUCUGGGACGGUACUGACGCUGAGACGCGAAAGCGUGGGGAGCAAACAGG